UACGUAGGGAGCAAGCGUUGUCCGGAUUCACUGGGUGUAAAGGGUGCGUAGGCGGGAAAAUAAGUCAGUGGUGAAAUCUCACGGCUCAACCGUGAAACUGCCGUUGAUACUGUUUUUCUUGAGUUCGGGAGAGGUUGAUAGAAUUCCAGGUGUAGCGGUGAAAUGCGUAGAUAUCUGGAAGAAUACCAGUGGCGAAGGCGGUCAACUGGCCCGAAACUGACGCUGAGGCACGAAAGCCGGGGGAGCAAACAGG
rnacentral:rRNA from 1 species